UACGUAGGGGGCAAGCGUUGUCCGGAAUCAUUGGGCGUAAAGCGCGUGUAGGCGGUUCAGUAAGUCUGCUGUGAAAGUCCAGGGCUCAACCCUGGGAUGCCGGUGGAUACUGCUGGGCUAGAGUACGGAAGAGGCGAGUGGAAUUCCCGGUGUAGCGGUGAAAUGCGCAGAUAUCGGGAGGAACACCUAUUGCGAAGGCAGCUCGCUGGGACGUUACUGACGCUGAGGAGCGAAAGCAUGGGGAGCGAACAGG
rnacentral:rRNA from 1 species